GAAGAAGAAGAAGAGAAGGAAGAGGGAGAGGAAGGAAGAAGGGAAGGAGAGGAAGAAGGGAUGGAGAAGAAGGGGCUACGGCUGCAGCAAUGGCAGCUGCAGUUGGAAGAGAAGAAGGAGAGGAAGAUGAGCAGGGGAGGAAGAAGAGGCUGCGGUCGUGGCUGAGGCUGCGACUGCAGCAGUGCAGCUGGGAAAGAAGAGAAGGAAAGGAAGAAGAAGAGAAAGGAAAAGGGAAGAAGAGAGGAAGAGGAGAAGGGGAGGCAGCUGCGAUAGUGGCAACUGCAAUCGGAAGAGAAGGAGAGGAAAUAGAGCAGGGGAGGAAGAAGAGGCUGCGGUUGUGGUGGCUGCGGCCAUAGCUGCGACUGCGGCUGCGGCUGCAACGUUGGCUGCGGUAGCUGUGGCAGUGGUGGUGGCUGCAGCAACUGCUUUUGGGAAAUAGAAAGAAAGGAAAGGGGAAAAAAAAGGGGGUUCUGGCCGUGAUUGCGGCUGCGGUGUUGGUGGCUGCGUCUACGACAGUUGUAUUUGGGAAAGAAAAAGUAGGAACGAGAGAAGGGAGGAAGGAAGUAGUGUAGGGGAAGGGGCUGCGGUUGUGACAGCAGCUGCGGUCAUGGCUACGAUUGUGGUAGUGGCAGUGGUGAUGGCUGCGAUAGCUGCGUUUGAAAAAGAAAUCGAAGGAAUGAGAGUAAGAGAGAGCAGGUGACUAUGCCUCUAUGUUCUGCAUGAGCUGCAGUUGUGGAGGAAAAAGAGAAGACAUAUGUAGAACACGAAACAGGGAGAGGACACGGAGGAAAAGUAUAAGGAUUUGGGCUGACACCUUCUUUGGAUCUUCGGAUGAAAAUAUUUGAAAGGCAAGUGUUCUGAUCCUUCUUAUUGCAAGCUUUCUAAUCUUUUCUCUUGCAAGUGUUACGAUCCUUCCUAUGACAAGCUUUCUAAUCUUUCCUAUUGCAAGUGUCAUGAUCUUCCUUAUUGCAAUUUUAUCUCUACAUUUGCUUUGAAUAUGAGAAAGUUUGAAUUGUUCUAGUCUUGCAUUUGAUAUAUCUCCUGUUUAAAUGUAACGAUUCAAAUCUGUGCAACUUUUGAGAUUCUGACCUUUCUAUCUUGUUAUGGUUAUAACUUUAUGUAUUAACCUCUGAUUUGAACAAAAUUUAUUUGAUUAGAAUAUAGACUCAUAAACCUUUCUUUUGAUAGUUUAUUUUAAGAGUUCAGAGUUAGUUUGUCUACCCAAACUUCUAUUUCAAAUGAGCCUACAGAUUCUACAAAAUAGGGAUCGUAAUUUCUGACCUUUUGAUACCGAGCUGCCUAUAAGUCGAUGUUGGAAACUCCGAUUUGUUCAAAGCUUAUUUCAUUGGAAACUAGACACGUAGAUCUUUCUUUGAUACCUGGGUUGAAAGAUUUAGAGUCCAAUUACCUGCCCAGUUUUCUGUUGAAACCGACCCUGUGAAUUCUGUAAAAUUGAGAUUUGUUCUUUGAUCUUGGGUUACUAAAUCUAUUGUAACUCUUUGAUGGAAACUUCGAUUCAUACGAGACUUAUUUUAUCGAAAAAUAGAUUGAAAUAUCUUUCCACAAUAGCUUUCUUGAGUAUAUUGGAGCACAAUUGAUAGUUUGAAUCAGUUGUUCAAUGUGCCUCUCGAAUUCUACCAGAAAUCGAGCUUUGGUCGAUUUCACAUAUUAUGGUUUCAUUCAUUUGGAAAUUGAUUUCAUCUAACCUUCUUAUUUGAAUUAAGCUAUAUGUGAUUGCUUGGAAUCCUUGUAUUCUCUUGUCCUUAAAAUUAUUGCAUUCUUGAAAACUAUUGUGUAACGUUUAUGCUAUACUGUAUUGACUCAUAUAGGCACAUGUAUAUCCCAUUGUUCCACAUUUGCUUUUGAUAUUUGCCUAUUCCAGUUUCAUUCUUUUGGAUAUUAAAUUCAUCUAACCUUUAUAUUUGAAUUGAGCUAUAUAUAAUUGAUUGGAAUCUGUGUGUACUCUUGCUUUCAUUUCCUUUCAAAUCUGAAUAUAUUUGUGAAAGAUUAUUGCUUGCAUCGUAUUGACUCAGAAAGGCACAUGUACAUUUCGUUGUUCCGCAUGUGCUUCCGAUAUGUCUCAAUUUAUUGUUCAUACUACCCUUUGUACUCUGGUGUUGUGGGAUAAUAUGAACCUUUACCUGAAAUGGUAAAGGGCAUAUGCUUAGAGCACGCAAAUCUCUAGAUUAUGUUUGGUGGUCAUUCAGAAAUGGAUGGACCAUAUUAUGUUUGGAAUCCCACUUCACCUUCUAUCUAUUUGAUUUGAAAUUCAGAGCUGACCUAGCACUUGGGCAGGGUGAGAGGGCUCGAGUAGGAAAGGACUACCCAUGGAUGUAGUCGAGAACUCAUCACGGCGUGGAGCCACCAUUGAGUUAAACCUCACAUGCACUAUGCUAGGGUACGACGUCUGAGCUUCUGUUUCGUAUUUUGUAUUGAUAUGCUCCAAAAUAUUUCCUAUGCCAUUGAUAUACUUUAAAAUGCUUCACAUACCAUUGAUAUGUUCUGAAAUAUCCUAUUUGCCAUUGAUAUGCUCCGGAACAUCUCGUACGCUAUUGAUAUGCUCCAAUUACUCUACGCUUCAUUUGUUAUGAACCAAAUAUGUUAUGAAUGAAAUGACAUUUGCGAUUCUAUAUAUAAUGAAAUGAUAUCCUUGAAUCUCUUGGAUUCUAUCUUGCAUUGUGAUAUCUUGUUUGUUUGAAACUGUCUCUUCUCGUGCUAGAUAUGCUUUGUCACUUGUUGAGCUGUUUUUAGCUCACUCCAUUGUUAUAUAAAUCUUUCAGGUCAGCUUGUCUCUCUUUGAGAUGUUUGAAAUUGGGCUGAGGCAGUGGAGAGCUAUUCAGAAUUAUGGGCAAGUCUUGUCGGUUAUUAUGUUAUUGUUGUAUAAGCAUAUUUUGUAUGUAAUGAAAUGUUGUCGAUGAACUGAAAUGGAUAUACCUUGUAAAAGUGUUAGAAGAUCUCUCUUAUUUGAAAUUUCGGAAUGUUAAAUCUAGUUUACGAUGAUAUGAACUUGUGGUAAAUGGUUGGAGAUAUGAUUGUAUAAAUUACUUAGCUUGUGGAUUUAUAAAUGUUGUUCAUGUUUGUUAAGUUGGCUUGGGUUGCUAUAAAUGUGAAUUAUCGAGUGAUGUGAUAUAUGAUUAUAAACUGCACAGGUUUUAUAGAUAUGAAUUUGAUAGAAUAUUUUUAAGUGUCCUCAAAUGUUAGUUUGGAUCCUAGAUUAGUUUGUGAUGAAAAUUUUAAUAUUAUCGAUAUUAUUUGAGGGGGUGUGAUAGAGGUGGUAUCAGAGCAUGGUUUAAGGAUUACUGAAAUAUUUGAUAUGUUAACGUGCAAAAUAUAUUGAGGUCUAGUGAAUUAUAAUGAUUGGUGAAAAUUUUCUUUGAUGCAUUUUAGGAAUCUAGGAUGAUGAGGACAUUUGGUUCUCGUAUUUCAUUUGUUUCUGAUUAAUUAAGGGGGAUGAAAGGGUUUAUUGAAGAUACUAAAUCAAAGUAGCACAAUGAAAGCAUGGCAGACCUUGUUUCAUUGGUGGUAGAAAAAUGGAUGAUGCAAACGGAGAAGAUAUAUGAUGUACAAAAUUGUUCUAAUGAUCAAAAGAUUUCUUUUUCCACCUUAUAUUGAAAGUAGAGGCUGAUUAUUAAUGGCAAUAAUGAAAAGAAUUUUUGGAGAUCAGUGGUAAGAAUGAUAAGGACAAGUUUACCAAUAAAAAUAUGAUUGGAAAUGAAUCAGAAAGUGAUAACAAGAGGGUCAAGACAUUUGGAUUUGAAAAGGAAAGUCACCACAAAAGACUUAAUCAUGUAUGAUGCAAGUUAAAUUAUGAAACAAGUUUGUGUUUGUGGGUGACUAGAGUCUAUUUUGCUUAUGGAAAGUUGGAUCAUAAAAUAAAAUACUGCCCUUUGAACAAGAAGAAAGAGUUGCUGCCUCUUAAAUCAUCAGCCUAUGUUAGAGUGUAUGCUAUCACUAAAUAUGAUUCUAAAACUUCUGAAUUAGUAGUCGAAGGUAUUAUGCAUGUUUAUGAAAGAAAUACAAAUAUUUGUUUGACAAUGGGUCCUAUCUACGAUUUGAUUCGUAAUAUUUUGCUUAUCACUUGGGCAUUCAACCUAGACCACUGCAUUAUGUGAUAUAUGUAAAUACAAUCAUUGGAGAUUCUUUGAUAACGGACUUGAAUCUGGUCCUCUUGUCUGAUUUUAUUGGAGAACUUGAACAUUUUGCUGAUUUAGUUCUCCUAGAGAUUUGGAGUUUUGAUAUUAUACUUGGUAUGGAUUGGCUAUCUUCCUAUCAUACCAGUAUGGAUUGGUAUAUAACAAAUGAUUAAUUUUUGCAUAUUUGAUCAGCCGAUCUUUUAUUUUCAGAGUAUGGGACAUGAUUUAUCUCCUUGCCUAAUGUAUCCCAAGAUGACUUGCUUGGAUUACCUCCAAAUGUGACUUUGCUUUUGAUUUGGUCUUUGGGAUAAUCCCAAUAUCUAAGCCUCUCUACAGAAAGAUAUCAUUUGAGUAAGUGGAAUUGGAAAAGCAACUACAAGGAUUAUUAAAUGAGGAUUUUAUUUGGCUUAAUAUUUCAUCAUGGGGUGCUCUGGUGUUAGUUAAAAGGAUGGAUGGAACAUUGAGACUUUACAUUAAUUUUAGACAAUUGAAUCAGGUGACAAAAAAAAAAGAGUAUUUUCUAAAGUAACGACUUGUUUGAUUAACUGCAGGGUACAUAUGUAUUUUCAAAGACUAAUUGAAGGUCGGGUUACCAUUUAUUGAGGAUCAAGGAGGAGAAUAUUUCGAUCACUCUUGGAUAAUUGUGUAAUUGUAUUGUAUUGAUGAAACUAUUUGAGAGCAGGAGGAGGAAAUAAAGAAAUCAUAAUCCUCAUCUUUUCAUCGAUUGAGCUAUGACCAAUUUAGAGGACUAAAUUUUCUUUUAAGGGGGGGAGAGUGUAAUAUCCCUCACAUUUGAAAUUUAUUAAUAAGGAUUUAUUUGUAAAUCGGAGGACCAAUAUGUAAAUAUAGAAAUUUUAAGGACUAAACUGUUAAGUUGUAAAAAAAAAAAACCAAAAAUUUCGGUUUUAUCCCACCGCCCCCCAUGCUCUCUAUUUCCUUAAAACAGAGAGAGGAGCUGUGGGGUGUGGGGAGAAGAAGAAGAGAAGUAGAAGGAGAAGAGAAGAAAAGAAGAAGAAGAGGGAAAAGAAGAGAGGAAGAAGAGGGAGAAGAGAAGAAAAGAAGAAGAAGAAGAGAGGGAAGAGGGAGAGGAAGGAAGGUUCCACGGCUCGUCGCAAUGCCAACAAUGACCCUUUGUUGAUCGGUCACAUAGUUCUUCUCUUGUCAAUUUUUUUGGCCACAAAGGAUGGCUGGGAAUGAAAGGAGGUUUAUAUGCCGCGGGCCUAGGAGAGGUUCUCAUCCUCCGAGCAUCUUGGUUGAGCAAUUCUUCUUGUAUCCGGGCGAAAGAAAUCACAACUGUCACGGUAUGGGCCUGCCGCGCCGUAACCUCCACUUUUAUCUUUGGCUUGAGUCCUUCGAUGAAUGUUCCUAACAAUUGAUGAUUAGUCCAAUCACGAGUAAGGUAGGAUAGCUUCUCAAACUUGGUUUGGUACUCUUGAAUUGUAGAGGUUUGUCAAAUCUUUGCGAGUUGGCUAUCGAUAUUUUUAUACUUUAUAGGUCCGAUAUGAUUCAACAGUGCUUUCUUAAAUUGAUUCCAUGUCGGAGCCCUAUGAUUAUAUUCCAGCCAAUUGUACCAUUCAAUAGCAUCUCCUUCAAGGUGUAUGAUAGCAAUUUCAAUCGUAGCAUCAUCUAACGUUCGGUAGUAGCGAAAGUAAUGUUCGGCGCGUGAAAUCCACCUCGACGGGUCUCCUUCUUCCCAUUGCGGGAAGUCCACCCUAUUGCGUGGCUGAAGCAAGUCCGAGGGCUGUGCCUCCUUCUCUAGAGGCUUCUUUGAACUCUCUCCUCUCUAAAAUUUGGUGGGACUCGACGGUUAUUCAAUUUUGAAUUCUGCAAACAAAAUGCGCAAUUUGUCCUCCAAGCAUAAUUCAAGUAGCGAUUCAAUCCGAGAUUCAAAUGAUUCAAAUUUAGUAUCAAUUGGAUCCUAAGAAGCUAUAGCAUAUGCCUAUAGAUCAAAGAUGUCCCUAUCUUUUUUCUAUUGAUUGGUUAUUAGCAUGGGGUGGUGGAAGGUUCGAAAAAAUUAAGGAUCAUGUAAAGGUACUGUAGCAGAUUUUUACGUCUAAAGUGUAGCAAUUUGGAUGUAAAAGAUCAUUUUGGUUUAUAUUGAGAAUUUUUUUGACGAAAUGAAAGGGAAAUCCACUGUUAGGAAGUGUCAAAGCUAUCGUAAAAAUUUCGUAAAGAUUUUGAUAGAAAAAAUGCAGUAACAAGAUCAAACAAACUGUACUAUGCGGUUGGAAUUUUGUAGUGCAUCUUUCGUCAUAGAGAUGAAAACUUUGCAAUAAAAAAUUUAUGCAGCAAUAUAGGAACAAUUUUUUUCUUUUGGAUUUUUGAAUAAGGAUAACUAAAUUACAACUGUAGUAAGGUAGGGAACCAAAACUUGUUGCAAUUCAUGGGGAGAUUAAAGGAUGAUCCACGGUGGUGGAGAUGAUGGUGAAAUUCGGUGAUGAUCUUUUAAGCAAUUGUGGGAAUUACUUUGGGUGGCUGUAGAGGGCUGAUGGAUGGCUGUGGAAGGCCUGUGGGAUGCCAAGAACGCUGUUUUGAUACCAAGUGUUAGAACCCUUAUGGAUUCUAAGCUUGGGGUUGAUCUCUUUAGAGGAUUGAUCUCCUUAGAACUCUAUAGGGGUUCCUUCCUCCAGGUUGCUGCUCAAACGCUGCUAAAAGGAUUCAUCUAUUCAUUAAGAAAAUAGGAUGAAUACAUGACUAUUUUAGAGCUUCUAAACCCCAACUCCUAAUAGGACUCCUACUCAAGAGUCCCACUUCUAACCAACUCUUAAUGCUUAACCAAGAAGCAACACUUCUGUUUCCUGCAGGCGGAAAUAGAGGAGAGGAGGUGUGGGGCAUUGGGGAGGAGAAGAAGAAGAAGAGGAAAAAGAAGAAGAGAAAAAGAAAAGAAAAAAAAGAAGGAUGGCUACGGCAUGGGCUGUAGUGAGAAGGUGUGGGGUGUCGGGUAGGAGAAGGGAAGAAGAGGAGAAGAAGGAGAAGAAGAAGAAGAGGAAGAGAAGAAGUAGAAGCGGGUGAAGUGGCGGCACCUCUGUUUUCUGCAGGAGGAAACAGAGGAGAGGAGGUGCUGUGNNNNNNNNNNNNNNNNNNNNNNNNNNNNNNNNNNNNNNNNNNNNNNNNNNNNNNNNNNNNNNNNNNNNNNNNNNNNNNNNNNNNNNNNNNNNNNNNNNNNNNNNNNNNNNNNNNNNNNNNNNNNNNNNNNNNNNNNNNNNNNNNNNNNNNNNNNNNNNNNNNNNNNAGAAAAGAAAAAAAAGAAGGAUGGCUACGGCAUGGGCUGUAGUGAGAAGGUGUGGGGUGUCGGGUAGGAGAAGGGAAGAAGAGGAGAAGAAGGAGAAGAAGAAGAAGAGGAAGAGAAGAAGUAGAAGCGGGUGAAGUGGCGGCACCUCUGUUUUCUGCAGGAGGAAACAGAGGAGAGGAGGUGCUGUGCAUCGGGGAGAAGAAGGGGAGGAAGGAGAAGAAGAGAAGAAGAAGAAAGGAAGGAGAAGGAAGAGGAGAAGGGAAAGAAGUAGCAGCGGCUAUGGCUGUGGCAACUGCAGCUGUGGCAGGGAAAGAGGGAGAGGAAGGAAGAAGGGAAGCAGAGGAAGAAGAGAAGGGGAAGAAGGGGCUGCGGCUGCAGCGAUGGCAGCUGCAGUUGGAAGAGAGGAAGGAGAGGAAGAUGAGAAGGGGAGGAAGAAGAGGCUGCGACCGUGGCUUAGGCUGCGACUGCAGUAGUGCAGCUGGGAAAGAAGAGAAGGAAAGGAAGAAGAAGAUAAAGGAAAAGGGAAGAAGAGAGGAAGAGGAGAAGGGGAGGCAGCUGCGGCAGUGGCAGCUGCAGCUGGAAGAGGAGAGGAAACAGAGCAGGGGAGGAAGAAGAGGCUGCG
rnacentral:lncRNA from 1 species